ensembl:lncRNA
GACUUUGUAUCUGUAUGCCCAUUAUGCUCCCAAGCUAGGCUCUUCUAGAUGAAUUCCUCUUGUAAUUACUGCAUUAGGAAUAGAGACACAUCCUGCCUCCAGCAGCACUUUUAACAGUAACUUCUUUUUUGUCCCAAUAGUGUAUGAUCAGAUAGAUGAAAGCAGGCCUAUGGCAAGUUGGGAAACAAAAUGCUGAUAUUAUGAGUGUAUUUUUUCUUCUCUAAGUGUGAUGGGAAAACUGAGUGCAUUUCAUUAUGUCAUUAUCUUCCGUUCCUGUUUGCUUACCAUAAAUUACCCACAAAAGUUGCGUGUGCUUCUCAGGUUCACUCCAGUGACAGAAUGGCUGCAAUGGAAAUACACAGGCUGUAUUCAAAGGCUGCUGCUUGCAGCACAGUCAGCCGGGUUGCAGAGGUCAGUGAACUGUUCCACAGCAUCAACUCCUUGGUACUCCCAGGCAAGUAGGGGCAGGUUGCACACCACCCCCUCAGGCCCUCACCUCCUGCCUCUGCUGACUCCCGGGCACCACAGAAUGUUUUCUCCUGGGAGAAGGAAGUGUGAAGACUGUGUAAAAGAUGUGCCGCAUGGUUAGCAUCAACUUAACGCUGCAAACUCAUAAGCCAGUGUCUGACUGUAGAUGCUGCAUAACUGCUGUCUGAGUUAUCUAUGGUAAGAACCUCACCUGCAUGGAGAGCAUUAAUCACCACUGGGAGAAUGCUGUUGCGGUUUGGCUGAGCAAAGCUGCCUGAAAGAUAUUAAGACUGGUAGAACCUCUUGCUGUCACUUUAGCAUGAUUAACAUCUGAAAAUACUUCUGCUUAACUGUUAAAUAUAUUUACAAUCUUGCCUUGGAAAAACAGAAGGUCUUCUGUCCCACCAUUCAAUACACUGCAAUGGAGAAGACGCUUGAGGAAUUUUUUUUGGUCUUCCCCAGGCUGUCAUUUAAACUCUGCACGCACAUUUUACAGUGUUGUAAGCCUUGGUGGCCCUGCUCCUGGGAGGUGCUGAGCAUCACUGCUUCACGUGUAGCACAGCCUACAGCCACCAGCCUUUGUGAAGCACUGUGUGACCUGUUGCCUGGGAACUGAGGCCUUCCGUGAAUUGACCUCUUUCCUUAGCCAUACCCAAAUGGGAUUAUCGAUGUUUAGGUAGCAGUUGUUAAUUUUGGAUCUCAGUGGUCUUUGCCUCUCUACUAGUGCAAUUUCACAGCUCUGCCUGACAAGUUCUGCAGCAGAGAGUGCUGCCUAACUUGUAGUCCCAGAUUUUGGCAUCAGUUACGAGUAUCUCAAGAGACAAUGUCUGGGAAAUUCUACUCAAACUGCAAUGUGAUCUGGGCAGAAGAGAGGAGGUGGAAGGGCUUGCUGCUCCUGCACUGGAAGCAGAAGCAGAAAUGCUUGAAGGUGAGUGAUAUUUGGGGAACUGUGUGAAGGAGCUUCUCCAUUCCGGCUUUACUCUACUAGGAGGAGAGGAUAAUUUAAAUGUCAUGAAGGUGGUAUACUGAGAAAUGACAGUAGGCUGCAAUAAUAACCAGGUACCACUGAUUGUGAUAUUACGAUAUCAUCCUCCUUCUCCUGAAAUAUACCUUCAAGAAAUAAAAAAUAGUCAGCUGGAGCUAGAGGUAAUUGCUUAUAGAGUGACAGGUAGUGGUGAAACCCAUUAUAUCAUUUCUCUGCCAAUGAAGUAUUUCUCCCAGCAGUACAUUUCUUACGUAUUUGCUCUCAAACUUAGUAUUGUAAUUACUUAUGAUACUUUUAAAUUAAGAUGACAAUUAAGGCAUGCUACUUCUGCUGAAUUGCUUCUGAAAUUAAGUUACUCAUAUUUGCAUCAACACUUUGUAACCAAGUGAGGCUGCUUCCCUGAGGUAAAAACUCAAAGUAGGAGACCAUCUCUGACCUGCAUAGCUUACCUUUUCAAAGAACAAGAUAAAUAAAGACAUCAGUUCUCCUCCACUUUAACCUGCUGUUUUAAUUCUCC